UAAACGACUCUCGGCAACGGAUAUCUCGGCUCUCGCAUCGAUGAAGAACGUAGCGAAAUGCGAUACUUGGUGUGAAUUGCAGAAUCCCGUGAACCAUCGAGUCUUUGAACGCAAGUUGCGCCCGAAGCCUUGGCUGAGGGCACGUCUGCCUGGGUGUCACGCA
rnacentral:rRNA from 1 species